UGAACCAUUACUUUCUAUUUCUCAACCUCACUUUUCCCCAGGAUUUGCCUGUAAGCUCUAAAUUGUUUUUAAUUUCAUUUUGCCUUAGAGAUAACUAAAAACUGAAGAUUGGAAGGAGAGAAAUUAUCAACAAACUGAGUAUACUGUUCCUGGAGGAUAUUUUUGGUUUCCAUCCUUUUUAUUUUUCUUUAUUUUGCUAAGAAUGAAUUCCUAUUAGGAGAAAUGUCUUCUGUUUCUUAAGUAAUAAGGGUAUACUCAGCAAAGGAAUAAUUUAUUUUUCAGGUUGCACAAUUUUCUCCAAACAAAUUACACAAACCAUGGAAAAUCUAAACAAAUGAAGCAUCUUUGAUAUCAGAGUGUCUAUCAGAGAUUCUUACUUCAUUUGAUAAAUUAGUCUUCUAAUGAAAGAUGUUUUUAAAAUAGCUAUC
rnacentral:lncRNA from 1 species